rnacentral:SRP_RNA from 1 species
GCCAGGAAUGGUAGCACAAACCUGCAAUCCCUGCUAUGGGAGAGGCUGAGGGUGGUGGAUCACUUGAGCUGAGGAGCUCUGAGAUGCAAUGGCCUACAGCCAGGCUGUGCUGUUGGCACCAACGUGGUGAACCCCAAGGAACGGAGGUUCACCAGGCUGCCUAAGGAGUGAUGAACUGCCCCAGGUCAGAAAUGGGAGUAGGUCAAAGCUCCUAGGCCAAUUAGUAUGGGAUGGUGAGGUUUUUCUGGCCUGGGACAGAUAAGGAGAUCCAGUCUCA